rnacentral:misc_RNA from 1 species
GUGAAUCAUCGAAUUUUUGAACGCAAAUUGCACUCCCCCCGGAGAGUAGGAGCGUUUGAGGGUGAGACUAUGAAAAAACGUCAUCGUCGCUGUUUCGUGGUGGCGGUCGUCGGACAUUGGGUCAUCUUAAAUCCUUUGGUUUUAAGAGACUUAAAAUUUUAUCUGUGGUUCAAUGAACGUUUCUAAGAUUUAUUUCUUUACAUGUUUCUGGUAUCGAUUUUUAAUAGA